rnacentral:lncRNA from 1 species
AUCUGAUGCAGAUGGAUUCCUGGCCUGCUGAGUGAACUAAUUAAUAGUUGAUAAGUUUUGUCAUGGAUAAAAUAAUUUCUGCCACUGGAGUUCAGCAUCCUUCAUCAGAGUGUCUAGGGGAUACCAUGAUGCUUGCCCUUCUGGUUAAUCAAGAACACUAUAUCCACAAGGAGGGUUAAGAACGAUCAGGAUGGUGGAAAAGGGUAUGUGCAUGUGACUACAGGGACCUAAGAAAGCCACAAGUAGAAGUUCAUUCGUGAUGCAGCUGGAGUUACAGGCUGAUGUGAAGCUCCCAUGAUUGGUACUGGAGCCAAACUAUGUUCCUCUGGAAGACAAUAUGUAUUCUUAACCACUGAGCCACCUGCAGUUCCUGGAAGCUAAACUCCAUACAUGGAAUUUACAGGGCUCCGGGGACUGAGUUUUAUUACACGAUGUCCCAGUAGAGAAGAGGAAGAGGGAAGAAAAUCAAUGAGUCUUCUAAGAACAAAGCCUAUUCUCUGCAUGGACGAUACCAAAAUCAGCAACAUGGGCAAUCAGUCCUCUGAGACAUUACCUGAUAGUACUGUAAUGCGGGGAUUACCAAAAAA